AGGUUGCGGCAAUAACAGGUCUGUGAUGCCCUCAGAUGUCCCGGGCUGCACACGUGCUACAAUGAGUGGCGCAAUGUGCUAAUGUUUUAAGGGAUAAGCGUGCGGCCAGUAGAACGUCGGGAAAUUCCCCUGGCGUCGCCUGCGCACGAUUAUCAGCCUUCCCUUAACAGGGCGGGCAACCUUUUCAAAAUACCGGUUUGAUAUUAAAGUAUAGAGUCGUUUUUUUUGGAUGGUGGUUUACGAACCAAUACCAUCCGCAACUGCUCGCGAGUUUGUGGUUCUGGUGACUCAUGGUGGGGACCGAUGUUUGUAAUUGUUUGUCGCGUGUCAACUAGGAAUGCCUUGUACUGUCGAUUCACUAAGUUAUUGGGAAUACGUCCCUGCCCUUUGUACACACCGCCCGUCGCUCUUA
rnacentral:rRNA from 1 species